GUUGUUCGGAAUUACUGGGCGUAAAGCGCGUGUAGGCGGCAAUACAAGUCGGAUGUGAAAUCCCGCGGCUUAACCGUGGAAGUGCACCCGAAACUGUAUCGCUAGAGUCCCGGAGAGGAUGGUGGAAUACUUGGUGUAGAGGUGAAAUUCGUAGAUAUCAAGUGGAACACCGGUGGCGAAGGCGGCCAUCUGGACGGUGACUGACGCUGAGACGCGAAAGCGUGGGUAGCAAACAGG
rnacentral:rRNA from 1 species